rnacentral:rRNA from 1 species
ACGAACGCUGGCGGCGUGCUUAACCCCUGCAAGUCGAACGGAAAGGCCCCCUUGUGGGGUACUCGAGUGGCGAACGGGUGAGUAACACGUGAGUAACCUACCCUUGACUUUGGGAUAACUUCAGGAAACUGGGGCUAAUACCGGAUAGGAGCUCCUGCUGCAUGGUGGGGGUUGGAAAGUUUCGGCGGUUGGGGAUGGACUCGCGGCUUAUCAGCUUGUUGGUGGGGUAGUGGCUCACCAAGGCUUUGACGGGUAGCCGGCCUGAGAGGGUGACCGGCCACAUUGGGACUGAGAUACGGCCCAGACUCCUACGGGAGGCAGCAGUGGGGAAUAUUGCACAAUGGGCGGAAGCCUGAUGCAGCAACGCCGCGUGCGGGAUGACGGCCUUCGGGUUGUAAACCGCUUUCGCCUGUGACGAAGCGUGAGUGACGGUAAUGGGUAAAGAAGCACCGGCUAACUACGUG